ACAACAGACGGAAACGACUGCUAAUACCGAAUAAGUUCCAAGGGCCGCAUGGCCCAUGGAAGAAAAGGUGGCCUCUACCUGUAAGCUAUCGCCUGAAGAGGGGUUUGCGUCUGAUUAGCUGGUUGGAGGGGUAACGGCCCACCAAGGCGACGAUCAGUAGCCGGUCUGAGAGGAUGAACGGCCACACUGGAACUGAGACACGGUCCAGACUCCUACGGGAGGCAGCAGUGGGGAAUCUUCCGCAAUGGGCGAAAGCCUGACGGAGCAACGCCGCGUGAGUGAUGACGGCCUUCGGGUUGUAAAACUCUGUGAUCCGGGACGAAAAGGCAGAGUGCGAAGAACAAACUGCAUUGACGGUACCGGAAAAGCAAGCCACGGCUAACUACGUGCCAGCAGCCGCGGUAAUACGUAGGUGGCAAGCGUUGUCCGGAAUUAUUGGGCGUAAAGCGCGCGCAGGCGGCUUCCCAAGUCCCUCUUAAAAGUGCGGGGCUUAACCCCGUGAUGGGAAGGAAACUGGGAAGCUGGAGUAUCGGAGAGGAAAGUGGAAUUCCUAGUGUAGCGGUGAAAUGCGUAGAGAUUAGGAAGAACACCGGUGGCGAAGGCGACUUUCUGGACGAAAACUGACGCUGAGGCGCGAAAGCGUGGGGAGCAAACAGGAUUAGAUACCCUGGUAGUCCACGCCGUAAACGAUGGAUACUAGGUGUAGGAGGUAUCGACCCCUCCUGUGCCG
rnacentral:rRNA from 1 species